AACGAACGCUGGCGGCAUGCCUAACACAUGCAAGUCGAACGAGACCUUCGGGUCUAGUGGCGCACGGGUGCGUAACGCGUGGGAACCUGCCCUUAGGUUCGGAAUAACUCCCCGAAAGGGGUGCUAAUACCGGAUAAUGUCUUCGGACCAAAGAUUUAUCGCCUUUGGAUGGGCCCGCGUUGGAUUAGCUAGUUGGUAGGGUAAAAGCCUACCAAGGCGACGAUCCAUAGCUGGUCUGAGAGGAUGAUCAGCCACACUGGGACUGAGACACGGCCCAGACUCCUACGGGAGGCAGCAGUGGGGAAUAUUGGACAAGGGGCGAAAGCCUGAUCCAGCAAUGCCGCGUGAGUGAUGAAGGCCUUGGGGUUGUAAAGCUCUUUACCCGGGAUGAUAAUGACAGUACCGGGAGAAUAAGCUCCGGCUAACUCCGUG
rnacentral:rRNA from 1 species